GAUGAACGCUAGCGACAGGCUUAACACAUGCAAGUCGAGGGGCAGCGGGGGUAGCAAUACCCGCCGGCGACCGGCGCACGGGUGAGUAACGCGUAUGCAACUUACCUAUCAGAGGGGGAUAACCCGGCGAAAGUCGGACUAAUACCGCAUGAAGCAGGGGCCCCGCAUGGGGAUAUUUGCUAAAGAUUCAUCGCUGAUAGAUAGGCAUGCGUUCCAUUAGGCAGUUGGCGGGGUAACGGCCCACCAAACCGACGAUGGAUAGGGGUUCUGAGAGGAAGGUCCCCCACAUUGGUACUGAGACACGGACCAAACUCCUACGGGAGGCAGCAGUGAGGGAUAUUGGUCAAUGGGCGCGAGCCUGAACCAGCCAAGUCGCGUGAGGGAUGAAGGUUCUAUGGAUCGUAAACCUCUUUUAUAAGGGAAUAAAGUGCGGGACGUGUCCUGUUUUGUAUGUACCUUAUGAAUAAGGAUCGGCUAACUCCGUGCCAGCAGCCGCCGUAA
rnacentral:rRNA from 1 species